AACGCAUAUUGCACUCUCUGGCAUUCCGGAGAGUAUGCCUGUUUCAGCAUCAUAAAUCUCAAUCAACCUUCUUUCUUUUUGGAAAAAAGGUUUGGAUCUGGGCAUUGCAUGCAGAAAAAAGAUUCCUUCUUUUUUCCUUUGCCGUGCUUGCCUGAAAUUCAAUCGUGGAACGCCUAAAAAAAAAGGCCAAAUCAAAAGGUGUCAUAGUUGGAUUCAUUCAAUCCAUCUUUCACCGAAUCUUUUGUGCCGUUAGGUUGGUCUGCGUUUCUGCUUGCUCUCCUCUGUGAGGCAGCGGAAAAAACCCCCCUUUUUCAAUUUGAUCUGAAAUCAGGUAGGAUUACCCGCUGAACUUAA
rnacentral:misc_RNA from 1 species